UACGAAGGGGGCUAGCGUUGCUCGGAAUCACUGGGCGUAAAGGGUGCGUAGGCGGGUCUUUAAGUCAGGGGUGAAAUCCUGGAGCUCAACUCCAGAACUGCCUUUGAUACUGAGGAUCUUGAGUUCGGGAGAGGUGAGUGGAACUGCGAGUGUAGAGGUGAAAUUCGUAGAUAUUCGGAAGAACACCAGUGGCGAAGGCGACACACUGGCUCACUACUGACGCUGAGGCGCGAAAGCGUGGGGAGCAAACAGG
rnacentral:rRNA from 1 species